CCCUGAAAGAGCACGAUCGGCGGUUACGCACGAGGACGAAUGGAACGCGACGCGGUGAGCGCACAAACCGCCGCUGUCCCAGCAGGCGAGCAGCCGCGAUCCGUCGAUGUAGUCUGUGACGAGGGUGCGCUGGUGCGCCCCGUCUGUGCAAGGCGUCACAUGCGUGCGCUUGAGAUGCGCGCCCCAAUGGUCGUCGCCCUUGUGGGUAUUGUCGCCGGCGUCAGCGGGGAUCAUGACGCCGCCGAGGCAAAAGACCACUUUGGCGUCGUCUUCGACAAAGCACCGGCCAUCGGCGGUCACAAGCAUGCCCUGUCCACGCGGUUUGCCAUUGUGCCACGUGGCUUCAACGCGCUGGCCGUUGGGCCACGUGUGCACGCCCCAACCAUGAGGUUUUCCGUCGCGCCAUAGGCCGCGAUGGGAUCGCCCGUCGGGCAGGGUCAUGGUGCCCUCGCCGUGUCUCUUUGAGUACCACUGACCUCGGUAGCGGCGACCGUCGGGGUACUCUUCCACGCCGACGCCUUUGCGAUUGCCGUGUUCGUAUGCGCCGCGAUACACACGCCCGUCGUUGUGAAAGAAUGUGCCGUUGCCAUGAUACGAGUCGUUGGCAAAGUCGCCCUCGUAUCGGCUGCCGCUCGGCUUGUACUGAAACACGCGGCCGUGUCUGGUGUCGUUCACCCAUUGGCCCUCGGAACGCGUCCCGAGGCGGUCGCGAGGGAGGUCAAACGCGGCGCGCGGGUCGACGGCGUCAUCGGCGCCUGAAAGGGUGACGCGCACGCGCACCCCGUACCCGUGCGGCACGCCCCGGCGCAAUUCGCCACAAAAGUAAUGGUUCUUUGGCUUUACGGUGGCGCAGCCUAUGCUUGUCGGCGCCGAGGGGUCGGCCCGCGUCGCACGCGCCCGAUAGAGCCAACGCCAGUCCUUGCCAAACUCGGAAAAGUGAUCGUGGAUCGGUUGCCCGUACCGCUGCUCGUAGAGACGACGCCACAGCGCAUCGUCACGGCACAGGCGUUCGAGCCCGCGCGCCGUCUGGGCCGCACAGGCCAGCGCGACCGGGUCCGACAGAGCCCCGAGGAGCGUGAGCAGCAGUUCGUCGGGCAGCGCAAGCAGAUGCCUGUCCAUAAACUCGACUAUUUCGCUUGUCGGAUGUGUGGCUGCAUCCUGUUGAUGCUCUUGACGCGGGCGGUCGUGUACGGCAGCAAACGAUUUGUCGAAAGACAUGGUCGGCGUACAGUGAUAAACUGCAACAACAACAACGACAGCAACAGUGGCAGAGGCCCCCGAGUCUCCUUCUUUUUUUGUUGGCGCCGCCGUGGCGCUGUUUGUCGUGGCGUGAAAAGAAAACGAAAAAAAAGAUAAAGCCACUGGGGAGUGGGCGAG
rnacentral:lncRNA from 1 species